CUAGGCUGAAGCCCGCUGGAUUGGGUGUCUAGUUGUUAACUAGACUUUUACGGGAUCGAGGCCCGCCGGUCUAGU
rnacentral:tRNA from 1 species